rnacentral:rRNA from 1 species
UUUAUGGAGAGUUUGAUCCUGGCUCAGGAUGAACGCUGGCGGCGUGCCUAAUACAUGCAAGUCGAGCGAACUGACGAGGAGCUUGCUCCUUUGACGUUAGCGGCGGACGGGUGAGUAACACGUGGGUAACCUACCUAUAAGACUGGAAUAACUCCGGGAAACCGGGGCUAAUGCCGGAUAACAUGUUGAACCGCAUGGUUCAACAGUGAAAGACGGUUUUGCUGUCACUUAUAGAUGGACCCGCGCCGUAUUAGCUAGUUGGUAAGGUAACGGCUUACCAAGGCGACGAUACGUAGCCGACCUGAGAGGGUGAUCGGCCACACUGGAACUGAGACACGGUCCAGACUCCUACGGGAGGCAGCAGUAGGGAAUCUUCCGCAAUGGGCGAAAGCCUGACGGAGCAACGCCGCGUGAGUGAUGAAGGUCUUCGGAUCGUAAAGCUCUGUUGUUAGGGAAGAACAUAUGUGUAAGUAACUGUGCACAUCUUGACGGUACCUAACCAGAAAGCCACGGCUAACUACGUGCCAGCAGCCGCGGUAAUACGUAGGUGGCAAGCGUUAUCCGGAAUUAUUGGGCGUAAAGCGCGCGUAGGCGGUUUUUUAAGUCUGAUGUGAAAGCCCACGGCUCAACCGUGGAGGGUCAUUGGAAACUGGAAAACUUGAGUGCAGAAGAGGAAAGGGGAAUUCCAUGUGUAGCGGUG